GCAACCAUGACUUGGAAAAUGGAUACCACAUACUAAAAGGUAACAGAGCAGGAAGACAAAAGGAGCUUGCAUUCCCGAUGACCAUGGAGCCACUAUACCAGCCCUGAACUUUUUACCACCAGGUACCCAAAAUAAUGCGUGACCACAUUCUCCUUGGAAAGCUCUUCAACCAACAUAGAGCCAUUUCAGUUUCUAAGCUGUGACGAUAAACAAGUAAAUACAUAAUGUAUCAGAUGAUGAUAAGCACUGUGGAGAAGAACACAUGGGGACCCUAAAUGCCAGCCAAUUGGGAAAGGAGUAGGCUACAAUAAGGAAAAUGAAAAAGUAGAUGGAGAUGUGGAUGAGGU